rnacentral:lncRNA from 1 species
AACACUAAAACUUUAGGUCAGAGAGUUCCAGCCUGAAGAAGAGUUUAUCACACAUCAAAUCUUUCCUACCGGUGAUAUAUAGAUCUGAAUAUAUAUACAUAUAUAUAUGUAUAUAUAUAUGUGAUAUAUGUAUAUGUGUGUACAUAUACACAUAUACAUAUAUCAGAUAUAUAGCAACCAGAAAGCAUUUCUUUCUAAAUGUACAUAUGUGUGUGUAUAUUUCUAAAUGUAUAUGUGUGUGUGUGUGUGUAUAAUUUUUAAUACAAAAAAGGCAAGAAUAUUAGUUGUCUGUCUCCACAUAACAAAUUAUUAGAAAAUUUAAUGGCUUAAAAAUGAUAAUGAACAUUUUUUUAUUCCUCACAAUUUCUGUGAGGACUGAGAAGCAAUUUGGCUGGCUGGUUCUGUUGGGAGUCUGCUACAAGGCCACAAUCAAUAUAUUGACCAGGGCUAAAAUAAUCUGCAAGCUUUAUGGGCAGGGGCAGGGUAACGAGCAUCUAAUAUUUGCACCCGGCCUAUUGGCAUAUAUCUCACAACCAGCGAGGUUGUGGUGGGAAGGCUUGAUUCUUUAGCAUGUGUGUCCCUCCUAACAGCUAAGUGAGCAGUAACCUAGGAUACAAAAGGGAAGUUGAAAUGUAUCUUAUCCUCUGACCUUGAAAAGAACAGAAGUAUCUCUUUCUGAUGAAGGGGGGGGGGGAUCCCCAGGACACAGAUAAGCUCAACACAGGGGAAUCACCAGGAGUCAUCUUGUCACUCAUCACUCUUGGGGCCCUUUUCCUAUGGUUUGGUUGCCUUGGCCAGCCUGCAUGCGACAGGUUUUGUUUUAUCUUAUUAUAUUGUAUUUUGUCAUGUUAAAAAAAAAAUAGAACGGAAAAAGUCACUGUUAGUGAAUUUUGAGUUGAUUAGCAGUGCUCACUAAAAGUAUUUUGAAAACUACAAGGUGAUCACAGGGGGAAAUUAAACUAACAUUUAAAAACAAAAACAAAACUUAAAUGUUUAAGGUGUGCUCAGUCUCCGGCUGGUGGUGUGCUAGGCAGAAAUGUGGCACCUUGGAGAGGUGGGAGGUGGUCAGGACAUUGGGGCCGUGCCCUUGAAGGUCACAUUAGGAUUCCUGUGUACUGCCCGUACACGAGGUGAGCGAUUCUGCUCUAUCAGAUUUCUCAUUGUGUUACCCCCUCCCCCUUUACUGCAGUCCCAGAAAUAAUGACGUCAAGACCGUGACCUAAAGUCUGUGAAGUCAUCAGCUGAAGUAAGCCACCCUGCCUUUAAGUUGAUGUUGUUAGGUACGCUGUGAUGGAAAGCAAACGAAACGUGAACAUAGUUUCGCCAGACUGUGAUGGGUGAUGUGCACUGUGGCACUGGACUGUGCUAAUAAGUAAAUAGCAAGUUUGUUUCAUAAGCUUAGAAACAUCUGUUCUGGGCGGGGCAUGAGAUCGCUGAAAGAUGGAGGAAAGGAGAAACAGCAGUAACAAACCUCCA